rnacentral:rRNA from 1 species
GAUGAACGCUAGCGGCAGGCCUAAUACAUGCAAGUCGAACGGUGUCUUCGGACAUAGUGGCGCACGGGUGCGUAACACGUAUGCAACCUACCUUACAUUGGGGGAUAGCCUUUCGAAAGGGAGAUUAAUACCGCAUAAGACAGUAGCUGGGCAUCCAGCAGCUGUUAAAGAUUUAUCGAUGUAAGCUGGGCAUGCGUCCAAUUAGCUAGUUGGUGAGGUAACGGCUCACAAAGGCAAUGAUUGGUAGGGGAACUGAGAGGUCAAUCCCCCACACUGGAACUGAGAUACGGGCCAGACUCCUACGGGAGGCAGCAGUAGGGAAUAUUGGGCAAUGGACGCAAGUCUGACCCAGCCAUGCCGCGUGCAGGAUGAAGGCGUUAUGCGUUGUAAACUGCUUUUAUACAGGAAGAAACGACUCUUGCGAGAGGCAUUGACGGUACCGUAUGAAUAAGCACCGGCUAACUCCGUGCCAGCAGCCGCCGUAAAAC